CUCAGAGCUGUUUUGUGCUUGUCAGCAGGAAUGCAGUAAAUGCACAGAUAUCUGUAGUAACAGGUCCUAGAGCAGACAGACAUGGCUGUCACGUGGCUCCAGCCCUGGGGGAGUCAUCUGCCACCGCCUCCUAAAUCCGCAGCACCACCACUUGGAAGGAGAAACAACUCAUCGGACUAAGCAGCCAGAGCUUGUUCCAGAGCAGAAGAGGUCCCGGCUGCCUCCCAGAUUGAGGGACUGCAGCAAUCCAGAACAGAGAACAAAUGGUGGGGGGCUGUGGUGCUGCACAUCACACAGCUAAGAAGCCUCUAAAGAGAACCACAGUCACGCGGCCACCAUCUUGAAUACAAACAAGCACAGGAGGACUUGCCCAGGAC
rnacentral:lncRNA from 1 species